rnacentral:rRNA from 1 species
GGAUUAGAUACCCUGGUAGUCCACGCCGUAAACGAUGGGUACUAGUUGGUGCGGGUGUUGACCCCUGCGCUGACGCAGCUAACGCAUUAAGUACCCCGCCUGGGGAGUACGGCCGCAAGGCUAAAACUCAAAGGAAUUGACGGGGGCCCGCACAAGCGGUGGAGCAUGUGGAUUAAUUCGAAGCAACGCGAAGAACCUUACCUGGCCUUGACAUCCUAGGAACCUGCCCGAAAAGGCGGGGUGCCCUUCGGGGAAUCUAGUGACAGGUGCUGCAUGGCUGUCGUCAGCUCGUGCCG